rnacentral:tRNA from 1 species
GGGGUUGUAGCUCAGUGGUAGAGCACUGCCUUGCAUGCGUGAGGCCCUGGGUUUGGACCCCAGCACCACA